AUGGCGCUGCUUACCAUGCAAGUCGAACGAGGUCCAUCCAAUGGCAACAUUGGUGAAGACCUAGUGGCGAACGGGUGAGUAACACGUGAGGAACCUGCCCCGAAGACCGGGAUAACCCUCCGAAAGGAGAGCUAAUACCGGAUGCCCCCAUCUGAUCGCAUGGUCGGAUGAGGAAAUGGAUUCCGCCUCGGGAGGGCCUCGCGGCCUAUCAGCUUGUUGGUGGGGUAACGGCCCACCAAGGCGUCGACGGGUAGCUGGUCUGAGAGGACGAUCAGCCACACUGGGACUGAGACACGGCCCAGACUCCUACGGGAGGCAGCAGUGGGGAAUCUUGCGCAAUGGGCGAAAGCCUGACGCAGCAACGCCGCGUGGGGGAUGAAGGCUCUCGGGUUGUAAACCCCUUUCAGCAGGGACGAAACUGACGGUACCUGCAGAAGAAGCCCCGGCCAACUACGUGCCAGCAGCCGCGGUAACACGUAGGGGGCAAGCGUUGUCCGGAUUUAUUGGGCGUAAAGAGCUCGUAGGCGGUUCGAUAAGUCGGGUGUGAAACCUCCAGGCUCAACCUGGAGACGCCACCCGAUACUGUUGUGACUGGAGUCCGGUAGGGGAGCGUGGAAUUCCUGGUGUAGCGGUGAAAUGCGCAGAUAUCAGGAGGAACACCAGCGGCGAAGGCGGCGCUCUGGGCCGGUACUGACGCUGAGGAGCGAAAGCGUGGGUAGCAAACAGGAUUAGAUACCCUGGUAGUCCACGCCGUAACGUUGGGCACUAGUGUGGGUCUCAACCCAACGGGAUCCGUGCCGCAGCUAACGCAUUAAGUGCCCCGCCUGGGGGAGUAC
rnacentral:rRNA from 1 species